CAGUCAAUGACAAAAACAACUGCUUAAAAUAAGGCACUUUUCCACAGAAGGAGGGGCAAACAGUAAGUAAGCAAAUAAAAUUAGUUAAAAGUUUUCUUCUACACAAAGAUAAGGCGUUCAGUGUCAGAACUUUAAGUAGUUUUAAGUAACCUCAUGUCAUUCUACCACUCUGCUAAUAGUAACCUCCCCAAGAAUUAACAGCAAUUUUUACAACAGGAUUUUUCCUUCUUUUGAAGUGGCACUAAGUAACAGCAGUGGAAAAAAUUAUUGGUUGUUUCAAGCUCUCAAAGUGGAUCAGUUAUUGCACAAUAAAUACCUCAUAGAGGUCAGUGUUUUUGUUUCUUUGUUUUUUAAAAAGCUAGGCUGAAUAUUUGUGUGUUAUUUAUAAAUUGUUUAUGUCUGGAAAUCUUCAAGUUUCAUGAUACAUCACUAAAGAAAUUAGCUACAUAAAAAUUUACAACAGGGACAUACAAAUAAAUACAAAACCUUUUGGACAGCCACAGUUUUGUUGAUGCUUUAUGGAAAGUAAUAAACUAGUUAAAGUGUCUAAGGCUUUAUAUACGAACUCAAGAGAAAGUAUGCAUCAGAGAACCAAGCGUUGAAUACAGUAGCCUAUCUCAGCAGCUUCAACACCUCCUGAAGCAAGAAUAGCUUGACACUUUCACCAGUGCAUGCCGCUCAAAGCAGAAUUCCGCAGCAUUUCGGACUACAUCCAACCUUACA